GACGAACGCUGGCGGCGUGCUUAACACAUGCAAGUCGAACGGAAAGGCCCUGCUUUUGUGGGGUGCUCGAGUGGCGAACGGGUGAGUAACACGUGAGUAACCUGCCCUUGACUUUGGGAUAACUUCAGGAAACUGGGGCUAAUACCGGAUAGGAGCUCCUGCUGCAUGGUGGGGGUUGGAAAGUUUCGGCGGUUGGGGAUGGACUCGCGGCUUAUCAGCUUGUUGGUGGGGUAGUGGCUUACCAAGGCUUUGACGGGUAGCCGGCCUGAGAGGGUGACCGGCCACAUUGUGACUGAGAUACGGCCCAGACUCCUACGGGAGGCAGCAGUGGGGAAUAUUGCACGAUGGGCGGAAGCCUGAUGCAGCAACGCCGCGUGCGGGAUGACUGCCUUCGGGUUGUAAACCGCUUUCGCCUGUGACGAAGCGUGAGUGACGGUAAUGGGUAAAGAAGCACCGGCUAACUACGUG
rnacentral:rRNA from 1 species